rnacentral:rRNA from 1 species
CGCAGCCGCGGUAAUUCCAGCUCCAAUAGCGUAUAUUAAAGUUGUUGCAGUUAAAAAGCUCGUAGUUGAAUUUCGGGGUUAGUAGGUUGGUCAUGCCUCCGGUAUGUACUGGUCUCACUGAUUCCUCCUUCCUGAUGAGCCGUAAUGCCAUUAAUUUGGUGUUGCGGGGAAUCUGGACUGUUACUUUGAAAAAAUUAGAGUGUUUAAAGCAAGCUAACGCUUGAAUACAUUAGCAUGGAAUAAUGGAAUAGGACGUUCGAUCCUAUUUUGUUGGUUUCUAGGAUUGACGUAAUGAUUAAUAGGGAUAGUUGGGGGCAUUAGUAUUCAAUUGUCAGAGGUGAAAUUCUUGGAUUUAUUGAAGACUAACUACUGCGAAAGCAUUUGCCAAGGAUGUUUUCAUUAAUCAAGAACGAAAGUUAGGGGAUCGAAGACGAUCAGAUACCGUCGUAG